rnacentral:misc_RNA from 1 species
AACGCAUCUUGCGCUCUUUGGUACUCCAAAGAGCAUGCCUGUUUGAGUGUCGUGAAAUUCCUCAACCUUGUAAGCCUUUCGUUUGAAAGGCUUAGUUAGGCUUGGAUUCUUGGAAGUUCUGCUGACUCUUAUAAAAUCAGCUCUUCUUAAAUGUAUUAGCAAGGAUCAUUGCUGAAUUAACUUUCAUUGAUAUGAUAAUUAUCUAUAUCUUUGAUAAAUCAGCAUUUUAAAAGGAUUCAAGCUUCUAACUGUCUCUUUGGAAGACAAAUUUCAUUUAAAUAUUUGACCUCAAAUCAGGUAGGAUUACCCGCUGAACUUAA